rnacentral:rRNA from 1 species
UACAGAGGUCUCGAGCGUUAGGCGGAAUCACUGGGCUUAAAGCGUGUGUAGGCGGAUUGCCAAGUACCUUGUGAAAUCCCACGGCUUAACCGUGGAACUGCUUGGUAUACUGGCUGUCUUGAGCCACUUAGGGGCAACCGGAACAAACGGUGGAGCGGUGAAAUGCGUAGAUAUCGUUUGGAACGCCAAUGGUGAAAACAGGUUGCUGGGAGUGUGCUGACGCUGAGACACGAAAGCCAGGGAGCAAACGGG